rnacentral:rRNA from 1 species
CCUACGGGUGGCAGCAGUGAGGAAUAUUGGUCAAUGGUCGGGAGACUGAACCAGCCAAGCCGCGUGAGGGAGGAAGGUACAGAGUAUCGUAAACCUCUUUUGUCAGGGAACAAAGACUGGGACGCGUCCCCGGAUGAGUGUACCUGAAGAAAAAGCAUCGGUUAACUCCGUGCCAGCAGCCGCGGUAAUACGGAGGAUGCGAGCGUUAUCCGGAUUUCUGGGGGUUCAAGGGUGCGCAGGCGGGCUGUUAAGUCAGCGGUCAAAGCCCGGGGCUCACCCCCGGCCCGCCGUUGAAACUGGCAGUCUCGAGUUGGCGCGAAGUAUGCGGAAUGCGCUUUGUAGCGG